rnacentral:rRNA from 1 species
UACGUAGGGUGCAAGCGUUGUCCGGAAUUAUUGGGCGUAAAGAGCUCGUAGGCGGUUUGUUGCGUCGGCUGUGAAAUCCCGAGGCUCAACCUCGGGUCUGCAGUCGAUACGAGCAAACUAGAGUGUUGCAGGGGAGACUGGAAUUCCUGGUGUAGCGGUGAAAUGCGCAGAUACUCAGGAGGAACACCGAUGGCGAAGGCAGCUCGCUGGGACGGUACUGACG